GAAAUGCGAUAAGUAAUGUGAAUUGCAGAAUUCAGUGAAUCAUCGAAUCUUUGAACGCACAUUGCGCCCGGCAGUAAUCUGCCGGGCAUGCCUGUCCGAGCGUCAUUUCAGCCCUCGAGCCGCUAUUUCUUCAGUGGAUCGGUGUUGGGGCACUACCGUAAUAGGUAGGCCCCGAAAUGCAGUGGCGGUCCCGCCGCGGCGCCCAAUGCGUAGUAACGUCUAGUCUCGCAUCGGGUCCCGGCGGAGGCCAGCCGUCAAGCCUAUUUUAUCUCAAGAUGGUUUGACCUCGGAUCAGGUAGGGUUACCCGCUGAACUUAA
rnacentral:misc_RNA from 1 species